rnacentral:lncRNA from 1 species
UUAGACUAAAAACCAAUAAUAAUCUUGUGUCGGGUAAAGUUGAAAAUUUUGACACAUUGCUUAGGCUUUGGCUUUGGCUUGAUUAAGAAAUAAUAAAGGCGAUAAAUUUGACUAAAUUAAAUCAAUAAGUUGAUAUCUACUAAACAAAAGAAAUGUUCAAUUCUUUAUGGACUUGAAAGGUACGGCGCACCGUAUUUUCCGGGUCAGCUAUAUUUGUAGGUGUUCAUACAGUUAGACCUCUUCUAAACCUUGCCCUCAUGUCAAUUCGAUGAUUGCCU